GGUGCUUCCCAACAGAAGUUCCAAAAAAACAAAAAAAAAAAAAAAAAACCCAGCACCUUCGUUACUUAGAUAAAAUAAAAAUCAGACCUUUGAAAUUUCAAAGUUGGCACCCAGGUUUGCCAUAAUGAGUCACACAUCUCUGUUAUGUUGGAGGAAAAAGCACUGUACUGAAUGCAAUGGGAAAUGCAGGUUGGCGUGCACACAGCGAUGACUCGUCAGCUGCAAACUCGACAGGUGGAUGCACCUUUCUGCUGAAAGCAGGCAGUUAGCUGCACAGCUGUCCCCUUCAGGAGCGUGAGCGAAGGCAAAGAUUGUAACCCCCCAGAGCUGCAAAGCCAAGUCAGAUUUGGAACAACUGGAAGCAACUUGAACUCCUUUAAUGGUGCUAAUAUGUAUAUUUAUUUUAGAAGAGAAAGUUCUUGCAGCGUGAAUCCAAUCUACUCACUCAUGAGCUCUUUGUUCACAAGCAAACUUAAACAGUUGCAUAAGGUAUUAUUCAAACAAAAAAGUUUGAACUAAGAUUAAUGACUUAAUAAAUUAUGGAUGAGGAUUUUACAGUAUUUGCUGGUAAAUGGAAAACAAAUGAGGAAUACAGCUCGUGUGUGCAGAGCUCGCAUAUCUGGUAGGGGGUAAUAGUCAUGUCAGGGCAAGGGAACCAGGCCGGAGCUCUCGAUUUGCAGUUGUGGACUUGUGUAAGCAUACGAAUUCCUUCCUUAAAUACACUUUGCAUUUUUUAUCUCUUCCUUCUUUUACCUGAUAAAUUAACAAAACACACUUUCAUUUGAUGGCUCCACUGUUCCCUCUGUAAUGACACAGUGGAGCUCAAGGUUGCUCUGAGCAAGCAGGAAAGAGAAUGUAGCAGGGUUCCUGGAGUGAUGCAGAGUGGCUGAGGUUGUACAAAGUCUCAGGAGUGCUUUGGGUAUGUUUGCAAUUCCCCCUGGCAGUAGGCGGUGGAUUCUGGUACCCAUGCGGGGGAUUGAGUGAAUUGAAUAAGUGCUUUGUUCAGCCAAGCAUCAAGAAAGGGAAAGACUGCAAAUGCCUUUGCUGUGAGUGAUUCAACCAAGGAGUGCUCAUGAUGAGAGAGGUGGGUCUCACCCUGGUCUGCUGCUGCAGCCUUUUCUGGAAAAUAGUUUCUGUGGAAGCCCUCCUCUCUUUCUGAGUUGAAUACCGCUCUUAGCUUAGCAAAAUACCACUACCACAUUUGCAGAUGUCUAGUGAUCAUCAAGAUGAUGACUUUUUCCUUGCAAGUCUCCUCCUUGUUCACUUCUAGAAGUCAUAGAUUGAAGAGAGGAUGAGUGCAAUGGUCACUGUAGCGAAUGUGUCACAGCUGAGGAAAAGAAUGCUGUGAAGAUCAAUUCUGUCAGUUAUUACCUGAAAGGUGCAGGGGAGAACUAUCCCAUGAGACAGCCCAAUGGCAGCAAGAUGCCUUUAGCACAUGUGCACAGUUCCUAUUGAUCACGUUGUGCUGGAAUGUAAGCAACAUCAGUUGUGUGAAUUGCACAUCAGCUGCAUAGUGCUGGAGCAGUGGUUGGUUUAUCCUCCCAGUCUUACUCGUGUGUAGUGCUAAUGAAGUCAGAAAGCAACCAGAACUGUAACGUGAAACUUUAAAUGGUUUGCAUGGCUUAUGUGACUUGGUAAUAGUCUUGAAAGAGGUCAAAGUCAAAUGUGCAGAGAGAAUUCAGCCCCUUUGCCCCAGUCCUGUUCCCCAAGCAGCAGAUCACUGUGUAAUUUAUUAGUGUCAUAUAGCUGCUCACCUCAAUGAGCUAGGCCUCUUGCAGCUGCUCUCUGCCCAAGGAAUUUUUGCAAGAGUGAGGAACAGUAUUGUCAACUUCUGGCCAAGAAUCACGUCAUUAAUCCAAGUAAUCACGUUCCUGCUUUCAGUGUUCAUACCUUUAGAAGGUAUGCAGCCAUUAAGCUGCUCUGUGCUUCAUAGGUGUGUGUUUAUGUUAGGAUUUUGUUUGUUUGUUUAAUGAUAUUGCAUAUUUUAAAAAUGGAUGCACCCUACUAGAAAAUGUCCUAGAUUUUUAAAAGGAUCUUGGCCUGAUUUGCUGUCAUCUUAGUUUAGCUCCAUAUUAGAUGGGGUUCCGAGGGCAAGAUGGAAGUAACAUCUAAACGUGGCAGUAAGAGCGGAGAGCUUGAGCCUAUCACUAAAUCUUCUACUCUGUGUAACCCGGACACACGCAGUGCAAUGGGCCUCUCAGCUGUAGCACAGCAGGAAUAUUCUAAGUGAAGUUUUUUCUUGUGCUACAGCAGAGAUUCUUACCUUAUGAAAUAAUUUAGCCAUGCUAUGGAAAUAAUACUUAAGCACUCUUCAGAUUAUGAGAAGGCAUUUCAGUUUUACAGUUGUAAAAGUGUAACAGUGCAUCUUCACGUGAUGUUGCUCAGAUCUGGAUGUCAGACACUUGUGCUUGCUACGUAGGUAGGACAGUUCUGCUGCCAGAAACAAAGCACAGCAUAAACCAAGCGUUGUGAAAGUGAGUCUAGGACAUGUAACCUAGUGUUAGGUACAGAAGUCAAAAUGCCUGCUUUCUUUCUCUAAGCAGAAGUGAUGUAGAAGUGCUCCUCCUCCUAGAGCUUUGACUUAGAAAGUUCUGGAAAUGAAUGAAUAUGAAUUUAAAGCUUAUCAUCUGUAGUAUUUUAGUAAACACAUACCAUAUGCAAUACUGAUUUGUUGUGGGUAGUGUGCCAAGCACAGCUCCUCUAAGGCUGCCUAAAACCACAAAGUGGGUAAUUGCUGUAACAGACCUUCGCUGAGCACAUGGUUCUGCACCUGGCCAGCUUAUGGUUUCAAGUCUUGGGGCCUCCCCACUCGCUCUAGGUUACAUGUCUGUGCAUUGCUGAAUAAUUGCAUGAAAACUGUAGUUGAUAUGAGUAGCUGUAUGAGGAAUACUGCUUUCAGUGGUUUGGGUUUUUUUGAAGAAGGGGGUGUUUUUGUUUUGGUUUGGCUUUGCAUUGUUCUACAAAGCUCUCUGCUGACUCUUCAGCUGCUGGACAGACUUCUGAAGUGUUCUGUUUAUGUGACAUUAAAAGACAGGAGGCCUUGUCUGUACUGCUGAUCUAAAAGUUCGGCAUCCCUGACCAAAGCAGUAUCUGAGGCAUCAUAUCCCCUUUCUUAGACCAUCCUAUCCCCUUGCUCCCGCUUGUUUCAGGAAAGGCAGCAGGGUAGAAGGGAGGGAGGGGAGAUACAGGCGCAGCAGCAGCCCCUGUGCCCUGCCCAAGGUGCCUUCCUUGAGACCUCAGCGGGUGCUGGCAUCCCCAGCCAGGGAGCAGCACAUUGUUCUGCCAACAGAUAUAAAUGGCUCUGAGUUUGCCCAUUGUGGCAGAACAAGGCUAAAGGAAGGAGGAGAGCAGUGGCAGGAAGGAGAAGAAAACAGCAGAGAUAAAGAUGAAUGAAAGGGUGAUGAACAGAUGGCAUGGUUCAGCACUGGAUAAUAAGAGAAGAAGGAACAAGUGGGACCUACUAACCAAGUGAUGUGAUGGGAUUGGAGCUGCAAUUUGAUUUUCAGUAGUGGGCUGUCUGCCUGUUGUGGAAGUAGUGACUGCCUUAGGUCAGCUUGGCUCUGGGAGUAGUGUUUUGUCCAUGGCCUGCAAGCUGGGUGGCACUGCAGCUGUUUCACAGACUGUCACUGCCUCCUGCUUUAAUGCCGCACUCUCACUGGUUUCUUCUCUGUGCCUUCUUUACAUACUCAGCUCUAUUGGAAAUUUUACUUUUUCUGUGUUAUCCCAGAUUUCCGUGAGGUUGGGUAACAGAACAAGGGUUUAGUUUUUUCACUGGAGUGUAUGCAUUUCAUUCACUGGGACUUCUGGGGCUGUGGUGAUUCUAGACCGGGCAUUUCUCACGUUUAGCCCUAUCCCCGUUCCAGGAAAGCUUGUUUCCUGGUUACUUUGAGUUGACACAGUAUUUAUAUCGGCAUCGGAAAGUCUCCAAGGAGGUUUCAGGCACUUCUUUACGUAAAAGGAAUGAACUGCAGGCACUUGAAGACAAGAGAUUUUGUUUUCAUGUCCUAGAAUGUGGUUCUUUGUCUCAGGUAAGGUCUCUCUCUUUGCUUCAGUCAGCAUACCUCACAUACCUGUGAAAUUUCUGAGAAGUUCUAGAAACUGUCUUACCUACAUCACCUGGCUCUGAGUUGUCUGAUACUGGCAAUGCCUGCUUACAGCUCUGAAAACGGACACCCAACACCAUCUCAUCAAGGGCCCAAAGUCAUCAGCUUUUAUGUCUGAUGUCAUAUUGGGUCUUGGAUCAGUUCUGUUAUAGGGCUUCAUGAGGACAAUUACAUUGCUGCAGGCAUAAAUAUGACUAAGCUGUUCUGGUAUAGAACUUUAUAUAUGUACAUUUAUCAGUUAUUGGUAAAAGCAGUUGUUUUCUUCAUUUCCUCUAUGCCAUCCUAGGAGAGAAAAAUGAAGCUAUAGCGGAGAUUACAGAAAAUAAGUAUAGGUAGUUAUGCUGUAAGGAAAAAUAUACCUCACUCUACUGAUGUAAAGUUGGAAUAUUUUGAGCAAUACCAUUCUUCUAGAAAGUUUGGGGGAUUUUUUUUGUUUGGUUGGUUGUUUUCUUGUGUGUGUUUGUUUGUUUGUUUUGCUUUGCCUAUUAACUUGAAAUUUAGUUUUUAUUCUCUGCGUGGAUUUGGACGCCUCUGCAAAGCCUUACAAUGCACCUGCUGAGAUGAGGCUGGUACCAAGCCACACAUCCUGACCUGACCCUUUCCCAUCCACAUUCAGUCAGCCAGCCCACAGGCCAGGGCCAGCUGUGCAACUGCGGAAGCCCUUUUCCAGUCAACGUGCCCAUGUCGUGGCCUCUGCCACAGAACCACUGUCUCUGUGGAAAGAACACUCAUCCUCAUUCAUGCUUUCGGAGCUGCUUCUUAAAUAUGUGUCAAAACUGAAUUGCUCAGAACAAUGGCAACUUUGAAUUCCCAAGUGAAAAAUGCUGUGUGGCUGAGAGGCUCAUAUUAACUUUACAGCAGAGCAGAACUCCCAGCUCCUUCUGCAAGCGAAGUGUGAGAAAUGUGGACAUGUAGGUUACAGCAGCUGCUGCUGUGUUGCCAUCAGCAUCUUGAUCAGCACUGGGACAUCCUGGCCUGCCCAGCACACCCCCCGGGCUGUGGGGGCUCAGGCACGGUGUGAAGCUCUCUGCCCAGGCUGGCCUUGCAGGGUGCGUGGUAUUUUCCUUUCAGCUGGAUGUAAGUGAUUGUUUGCAUGGAGCCUCUGCUGAGAAGCCUUGGGAGGAGGAGAACAGAACUGAAAUGCACUUUUCAUCAACUCUGCAUAUUCAUAUACAUCUGUGUACUCAGAAAAAUACCCAGUGGUUUAUGCUGCCAACAAAAACAGCUGUAUAUAAUGAAUAGCCAAUCCUUCCUAUAUACUACUCCAAUAUACUGCUCCCAUAUGACCUACAGCAUAAAAAAUAUUUGUAGAAAGGACUUGGCAAAUAAUUUUGAGAAGUUAAUACAUCUGAAAAAAGAUAUGACAAAAUUAAACAAAAAAAUAAAUUGAAAUUAAUUACUGGGUUUUACUUGAGGAAUUCUCUCCUUCAGAAGUUUCAUUUCACUACUGUUCUAUUUUCCAAUCUUAUAAAUAUAUCAAUAGUAUAAUUCAUAAAUGGAGAUUUGAUUAUUCUGGUAUUCAUUUUUUAUCAUCUGUGAAGAGUGGAUUUCAUUUUUAUGUUAUUUCUACUGUAGAAGGUAUUUGUAUGUAUGUCUCUGGCUACAUGUGUAUGCUCACAGCUAGUUAUUUUCCUUACUCAUGUUUAGGAGAGAACUCUUCACAAUGCCUUUUGAAAAGCACUCCAAUUCUAUUGUUGCCUGUUUUGUUAGCUUAUUAAUGUAUUGAAAUAGUUGAAGGAGGGAGCAGAUUUUCUUUAAAGAAACCAUACUGCUUUGAACAGUUGGCACUUUCUGUCUCAGUGUUGCGCUAUGCUGCCCUUAAUAACUUCUCACUAGUUUCCCACUAAAAAGUUUGUGAUUAUUAUAAAUGAAUGAUUUAUUAUAGACUGCUGUUACUUACUAUGGUCAGGUAUUUCAUGCAGUACAUCUUGGAAUUGACUGAAGCUAUGUACUCUGACACAAACUUUCUCCAAGUACACAUAUUGUUGCAUCUGUCUGACCUGUUUACAACACAAAUCAAGACAGCAUUCGAAAGAAGAUUCAGAGAUUUAGGGGAAAAAAUGGAAGGAACGGUAAAAGGUGGUCUGGAUUAUUUUAAAAAUGGGUUAUUUGAAAUAACAAACAAAUAUAGCUUGCGAGCGUGAUGCUUCAAGGAGAAAUUUGCAAGUACAAAAUUCAAAGCAAUUGUUAAACUGUCAUGUUUGUUGUCAGAAUAGAUUUUUUAAAUUGUUAGUUCUUUUCUCUAGAAACUUGCAAAAUAGUUUUGUCUCAUUUGAAGCAGACAAUACCUAGAUUUGCUGCCUUCUGCUUCAGACUGUACCUGACUUAAGGAUGAAGUGGGAAUCACUCAGACUUUACCCACUAGGAGUUACUGUGAUUAGUUAUUGCCAAUUUCUUUGUCCUCAGGCUUAAAAAAUGGGUAUUGGGAUGGUGCCUCCCAGUCAUUUGCUUUGGCCAGUGGUUACUUAAGGCCCAGUGAUUCUGUUUCUUGCUCUAUGUGUGCAGUAAGUUAAUAUCCUGGAAGGGUCUUGAUGGUCUGUCAGCAGUUCAUGCAGCUAUUCCUUCUGAGCUUUCACUCAACAUAAAGCAUGAUCUAAGUAUAAUGCUCUGUCGUGAGUUUUUUGUUAAAUUUUAUUUUCAGUAAUUUAGGAUUAGGUCAGAUUCUGUGGAAGAUGAUGUACAAAUUAGACCAAAAAAAAUCAGUUCCUAAUUUUUGACAGUAAAGGACCAUUUUACCAACAA